GAUGAAGAACGCAGCGAAACGCGAUAAGUAAUGUGAAUUGCAGAAUUUAGUGAAUCAUCGAAUCUUUGAACGCACAUUGCGCCUGCCAGCACUCUGGCAGGCAUGCCUGUUCGAGCGUCAUUUCAACCAUCAAGCCCUAGGCUUGCGUUGGAGCCCUGCGGCUGCCGCAGGCCCCUAAAAGCAGUGGCGGGCUCGCUAUCACACCGAGUGCAGUAGAUUACUCUUCGCUCAGGGCGUGUGGCGGGUUCCAGCCGUGAAACCCCCUACUUCUCAAGGUUGACCUCGGAUCAGGUAGGAAUACCCGCUGAACUUAAGCAUAUCAAUAAGCGGAGGA
rnacentral:misc_RNA from 1 species